AAUUGCACGCGCUCUUGAAACUUGCGCCCGGUGCCCCCAUAAUCCGUCUCAUGGUUGUAACUCCGGCGAACUGGAGGCGUUCUGGACAGGGGUUCGAUUCCCCUCACCUCCACCUAAGCGCAGGGCUCGGGCAGUGCUCUUAGGUGGGGGUGCCAUGGCUUCGACAGGGCGAGUGAAGGUAAGCAGGCAACCCGUCAGGCGAUCGACGUUAAUGAAGCAAAUCUCCAAACGCCAACGAUGAGCGUUUCGCACUGGCCGCUUAAGGCCUAUGCCGAGGCUGCUUGAGCCUUGUUACCAAAGAAAAGCCGGCGGGGACUUCGGUCCCCGUCGUUA
rnacentral:tmRNA from 1 species